ACGCUCGACACCUACGGGAGGCAGCAGUCGGGAAUAUUGCGCAAUGGAGGAAACUCUGACGCAGUGACGCCGCGUAUGGGAAGAAGGUUUUCGGAUUGUAAACCAUUUUAGACAAGGAAGAAACAAGACAGUACUUGUAGAAUAAGCUCCGGCUAACUACGUGCCAGUAGCCGCGGUAAUCUGAGCGGGCUGGCAAGGC
rnacentral:rRNA from 1 species